rnacentral:rRNA from 1 species
UUCCCCUWUCCCCUGCGAGUGAMSCGGGAAAWGCUCAAAUUUAAAAUCUGGCAGUCUUUGGCUGUCCGAGUUGUAAUCUAGAGAAGCAUUAUCCGCGCUGGACCGUGUACAAGUCUCCUGGAAUGGAGCGUCAUAGAGGGUGAGAAUCCCGUCUUUGACACGGACUACCAGGGCUUUGUGAUGUGCUCUCAAAGAGUCGAGUUGUUUGGGAAUGCAGCUCAAAAUGGGUGGUAAAUUCCAUCUAAAGCUAAAUAUUGGCGAGAGACCGAUAGCGAACAAGUACCGUGAGGGAAAGAUGAAAAGAACUUUGGAAAGAGAGUUAAACAGUACGUGAAAUUGCUGAAAGGGAAACGCUUGAAGUCAGUCGCGUUGUCCAGGGAUCAACUCUUGCUUUUGCUUGGUGUACUUUCUGGUUAACGGGUCAGCAUCAAUUUUGACCAUUGGAAAAAGAUUAAGGGAAUGUGGCAUCUUUAGAUGUGUUAUAGCCCUUGGUUGCAUACAUUGGUUGGGAUUGAGGAACUCAGCACGCCGCAAGGCCGAGUUUUUAACUACGUACGUGCUUAGGAUGCUGGCAUAAUGGCUUUAAUCGACCCGUCUUGAAACACGGACCAAGGAGUCUAACAUGCCUGCGAGUGUUUGGGUGGAAAACCCGAGCGCGCAAUGAAAGUGAAAGUUGAGAUCCCUGUCGUGGGGAGCAUCGACGCCUGGACCUGACCUUUUGUGAUGGUUCCACGGUAGAGCAUGUAUGUUGGGACCCGAAAGAUGGUGAACUAUGCCUGAAUAGGGUGAAGCCAGAGGAAACUCUGGUGGAGGCUCGUAGCGAUU